GAUGAACGCUAGCGGCAGGCUUAAUACAUGCAAGUCGUGGGGCAGCAGGUUUGUAGCAAUACAGAUGCUGGCGACCGGCAAACGGGUGCGGAACACGUACAGAACCUUCCUUUGAGCGGGGAAUAGCCCAGAGAAAUUUGGAUUAAUACCCCAUAGUAUAAUGAAGUGGCAUCACUUUAUUAUUAAAGAUUUAUCACUCGAAGAUGGCUGUGCGGCUGAUUAGGUAGUUGGCGGGGUAAAUGCCCACCAAGCCUGCGAUCAGUAACUGGUGUGAGAGCACGACCAGUCACACGGGCACUGAGACACGGGCCCGACUCCUACGGGAGGCAGCAGUAAGGAAUAUUGGUCAAUGGAGGCAACUCUGAACCAGCCAUGCCGCGUGGAGGAUGAAGGUCCUCUGGAUUGUAAACUUCUUUUAUAUGGGACGAAAAAAGGCUUUUCUAAGUCGUCUGACGGUACCAUAUGAAUAAGCACCGGCUAACUCCGUGCCAGCAGCCGCGGUAA
rnacentral:rRNA from 1 species